rnacentral:rRNA from 1 species
CCUACGGGUGGCAGCAGUGAGGAAUAUUGGUCACUGGACGAGAGUCUGAACCAGCCACGUAGCGUGAAGGAUGACUGCCCUCUGGGUUGUAAACUUCUUUUAUAUGGGAAUAAAAUGUUCCACGUGUGGGAUUUUUUAUGUACCCUAUUAAUAAAGCUCGGCUAACUCCGGGCCAGCCGCCUCUGUAAUCCGUAUGUGCCGAGCGUUAUCCGGAUUUAUUGGGUGUAACGGGAGCGUAGGGGGAUUGUUAAGUCCGUUGUGAAAGUUUGCGGCUCAACCGUAAAAUUGCAGUUGAAACUGGCAGUCUGGAGUACAGGAGAGGUGGGCGGAAUUCGUGGUGUAGCGGUGAAAUGCUUAGAUAUCACGAAGAACUCCGAUUGCGAAGGCAGUUCACUGGACUGCAACUGACACUGAGGCUCGAAAGUGUGGGUAUCAAACAGGAUUAGAUACCCCAGUAGUC